UACCGAAGACCGGUUACCCCGACCCCGA
rnacentral:sRNA from 1 species